CUUUUAACAACGAUCUCUUGGUUCUCAUCGAUGAAGAACGCACGAAAUCAUAAGUAAUGAAUCAGAAUUCAGUAAUCAUCGAAUCUUUGAACGCACAUUCCCGCCAGCAUUCUGGCGCAUGCCUGUUCGAGCGUC
rnacentral:rRNA from 1 species